rnacentral:rRNA from 1 species
AUUGAACGCUGGCGGCAGGCUUAACACAUGCAAGUCGAACGAGUGGCGGACGGGUGAGUAAUGUCUGGGAAACUGCCUGAUGGAGGGGGAUAACUACUGGACACGGUAGCUAAUACCGCAUACCAUUAGCUGUGCCCAGAUGGGAUUAGCUGGUUGGUGGGGUAAUGGCUCACCAAGGCGACGAUCCCUAGCUGGUCUGAGAGGCUGACCAGCCACACGGGAACUGAGACACGGUCCAGACUCGUACGGGAGGCAGCAGUGGGGAAUAUUGCACAAUGGGCGCAAGCCUGAUGCAGCCAUGCCGCGUGUGUGACGAAGGCCGUCGGGUUGUAAAGUACUUUCAGUGGGGAGGCGUUACCCGCAGAAGAAGCACCGGCUAACUCCGUGCCAGCAGCCGCGGUAAUAC